rnacentral:rRNA from 1 species
UACAUGUGGGGCAAGCGUUGUUCGGAAUUACUGGGCAUAAAGGGUGCGUAGGCGGCUUGUUAAGUCAGGGGUGAAAGUUUUCGGCCCAACCGGAAAAUUGCCUUUGAUACUGGCGAGCUCGAGUGCGUGAGGGGUAACCGGAACGAGUGGCGUAGCGGUGAAAUGCGUAGAUAUCACUCGGAAGGCCAAAGGCGAAGGCAGGUUACUGGUACGCAACUGACGCUGAGGCACGAAAGCGUGGGGAGCAAACAGG